AGCGAACGCUGGCGGCAGGCCUAACACAUGCAAGUCGAGCGCCCCGCAAGGGGAGCGGCAGACGGGAGAGUAACACGUGGGAACGUACCCUUUGGUUCGGAACAACCCAGGGAAACUUGGGCUGAUACCGGAUAAGCCCUCACGGGGAAAGAUUUAUCGCCGAAGGAUCGGCCCGCGUCUGAUUAGCUAGUUGGUGAGGUAACGGCUCACCAAGGCGACGAUCAGUAGCUGGUCUGAGAGGAUGAACAGCCUCACUGGGACUGAGACACGGCCCAGGCUCCUACGGGAGGCAGCAGUGGGGAAUAUUGGACAAUGGGCGCAAGCUUGAUCCAGCCAUGCCGCGUGGGUGAUGAAGGCCCUAGGGUUGUAAAGCCCUUUCGGCGGGGAAGAUAAUGACGGUACCCGCAGAAGAAGCCCCGGCUAACUUCGUGCCAGCCGCCGCGGUAA
rnacentral:rRNA from 1 species